rnacentral:tRNA from 1 species
CGGGCCAUAGUGUAGCGGUAGCACGAGUCCUUCGGGAGGAUUUAGCCCCGGUUCGAUUCCGGGUGGCCCGA